CUUCAGCGAGCCCAGGAACAGCGGUCGGGCGGCGUCGCGGUCCCGGCCGUAGGUGGCCAGGAUCGCCUGGGCCUC
rnacentral:antisense_RNA from 5 species